UACGUAGGGUGCGAGCGUUAAUCGGAAUUACUGGGCGUAAAGCGUGCGCAGGCGGUUCGCUGUGUCCGAUGUGAAAGCCCCGGGCUUAACCUGGGAAUGGCAUUGGAAACUGGCGGGCUUGAGUGCGGCAGAGGGGGGUGGAAUUCCGCGUGUAGCAGUGAAAUGCGUAGAGAUGCGGAGGAACACCGAUGGCGAAGGCAGCCCCCUGGGUCGACACUGACGCUCAGGCACGAAAGCGUGGGGGAGCAAACAGG
rnacentral:rRNA from 1 species